rnacentral:tRNA from 1 species
AGCCCCUUGUAGCUCAAAGAAUAGAGCGCUUCCCUACCAAGGUUGAGGUUACGGGUUCGAAUCCCGCCAAGGCUU